rnacentral:sRNA from 1 species
AGCUCGACCGGGUCGACAGCCCGGGUUACCACCAGGUAGUCGCGCAGCGCGGUGCUGUGCCGGUUCUC